GACGAACCGUGCGAACGUUGUUCGGAAUCACUGGGCUUAAAGGGCGCGUAGGCGGGCGACCAAGUCAGGGGUGAAAUCCCGCAGCUCAACUGCGGAAGUGCCUUUGAUACUGGUUGUCUCGAGGGAGGUAGGGGCAUGCGGAACUUCCGGUGGAGCGGUGAAAUGCGUAGAUAUCGGAAGGAACACCGGUGGCGAAAGCGGCGCGCUGGACCUCUUCUGACGCUGAGCCGCGAAAGCCAGGGGAGCGAACGGG
rnacentral:rRNA from 1 species